UCCUGGCUUAGGAUGAACGCUAGCGACAGGCCUAACACAUGCAAGUCGAGGGGCAGCACAAGGAGCAAUCUGAGGUGGCGACCGGCGCACGGGUGAGUAACACGUAUGCAACCUGCCUGUAAGCGGGGAAUAACCCGUUGAAAGACGGACUAAUACCGCAUAAUACUAAAUUACUGCGUGGUAAUUUAUUUAAACAUUUAUGGCUUACAGAUGGGCAUGCGCAUGAUUAGCUAGUUGGAGAGGUAACGGCUCCCCAAGGCAACGAUCAUUAGGGGUUCUGAGAGGAAGGUCCCCCCACACUGGUACUGAGACACGGACCAGACUCCUACGGGAGGCAGCAGUGAGGAAUAUUGGUCAAUGGACGAGAGUCUGAACCAGCCAAGUCGCGUGCAGGAAGAAUUGUCCUAUGGAUUGUAAACUGCUUUUGCAGGGGAAUAAAGUGCAUCACGUGUGAUGUUUUGUAUGUACUCUGCGAAUAAGGAUCGGCUAACUCCGUGCCAGCCGCCGC
rnacentral:rRNA from 1 species